rnacentral:rRNA from 2 species
ACAAUGGACGCAAGUCUGAUGGAGCAACGCCGCGUGAGUGAAGAAGGCUUGUCGGGUCGUAAAACUCUGUUGUUGGAGAAGAAUGGUCGGCAGAGUAACUGUUGCCGGCGUGACGGUAUCCAACCAGAAAGCCACGGCUAACUACGUGCCAGCAGCCGCGGUAAUACGUAGGUGGCAAGCGUUAUCCGGAUUUAUUGGGCGUAAAGCGAGCGCAGGCGGUUUUUUAAGUCUGAUGUGAAAGCCCUCGGCUUAACCGAGGAAGCGCAUCGGAAACUGGGAAACUUGAGUGCAGAAGAGGACAGUGGAACUCCAUGUGUAGCGGUGAAAUGCGUAGAUAUAUGGAAGAACACCAGUGGCGAAGGCGGCUGUCUGGUCUGUAACUGACGCUGAGGCUCGAAAGCAUGGGUAGCGAACAGGAUUAGAUACCCUGGUAGUCCAUGCCGUAAACGAUGAAUGCUAGGUGUUGGAGGGUUUCCGCCCUUCAGUGCCGCAGCUAACGCAUUAAGCAUUCCGCCUGGGGAGUACGACCGCAAGGUUGAAACUCAAAGGAAUUGGCGGGGGCCCGCACAAGCGGUGGAGCAUGUGGUUUAAUUCGAAGCAACGCGAAGAACCUUACCAGGUCUUGACAUCUUUUGAUCACCUGAGAGAUCAGGUUUCCCCUUCGGG